GGACCCUGUACUGUGCCAAGGGGAACUACGACUUCGGGAUCACCCGUGUCAUCAAGAGUCUGGAACCGUACAACAAGAAGCUGGGAACAGACACCUGGUUCUAUGCUAAGCGCUGUUUCCUGUCUCUGCUGGAGAACACGGCCAAACACAUGAUCAUGAUCAGGGACUCAGUUGUUCAGGAGUGUAUUCAGUUCCUGGAGCACUGUGAAGUGUAUGGUAAGACAGAGCCAGCCAUGAUAGAACAGCCACUGGAGGAGGACAGGAUGCACAUUGGAAAGAACACCGUCACCUACGAGUCACGCCUCCUCAAAGCUCUCUUCUACGAGGUCAUCGGAUGGAACCAGUGAU